rnacentral:lncRNA from 1 species
CAGAUACCACGUCCUUGGGUUGGAGCCCCUUCUCUACUCACGUUGGACAUAGAAUCACUUUUCCAAUCAGAUGGAGUCUCGCUCUGUCGCCAGGCUGGAGUGCAGUGGAAUGAUCUUGGCUCACUGCAACCUCCGUCUCCCAGGUUCAAGCAAUUCUCCUUUCUCUGCCUCCUGAGUAGCUGGGACUACAGGCAUGUACUACCACGCCCAGCUAAUUUUUUGUAUUUUUAGUAGAGAUGGGGUUUCACCAUGCUGGCCAGGAUGGUCUCAAUCUCUUGACCUCGUGAUCCUCCUGCCUCGGCCUCCCAAAAUGCUGGGAUUAUGGGCGUGAGCCACCACAUCCGGCCCAGAGAGUCUUAAAAUUUUAUGCAGGACUGGGCUUCACCCCCAAAAGAUUCUAGUUUAAUCGAGCUGGUGGUAGGGUCACGGUGUCUGUCAUUUUGAAGGUUCUCCUGGUAAUCUUAAUAAGCAGCAAGAUGUGUAUUAAGGACUGCUGCAGCCACACAGAACAACCACCUCUCUCCAAACCGUGCAGCUGCUUUCCCUGUUUUUAUUCUGCACAUGCUUUCCCUGCAGCCUGCAACAAAACUUCUACUCAUUCUUCACAACCCAGGUUACCAAACCUCCUCUGGGAAGAUGUCCCUAGAGUUUUUUCCAGCAGAGUUAACUCUUUCCUUUGUUUGAGUUCACUCUUUGUGUGUACUCGGUUGUAGCAUAGAUUAUAUUGAAUUGUAAUUAUGUAUUUUUAAUGUCUUUUUUCCUCAGUAGGGAAAACUAAGUUGCGACUAUCUUUGGGACAGAGAAUCUGGCUUAUUUACUUUUUUUUAAACUGCAGAACCUUUUAUAUAGUUGGUUCUCUAUAAAUAAUUGAUGAUUGAAUGAACGAGUUAAGUCAAGCUUUGACCAAUCCAAGUAAGUAUCCUUCAGGUGUCCUCAGUCCUCCAAGCAUCUGCACCAGAAAGUUACCCCCAACCCCACCAACUCUUUACAGUCCACACAAAGAAAACAAAAGAAGGCCAACAAGCAAACAACAAACACCCCAGAAACAGAUGUGUGCAUAAUAGUACACGUCCUGGCUACCACAGAAGAAAUAUCAGGAAGAAAUUGUAAGAUCCAUAAGGGCAGGAAUUUUUUGUUGGUUUUGAUCUUUGCUGUAUUUCCAGCACCUAGCCAAGUGCCUG